rnacentral:misc_RNA from 1 species
GUAUGUGUUUUCUUGCUGUUGAGAAUAAUCCCACUCAGUAGACUUCUUCGAGCCAUUGGAUGGUGCUGUUGUUUCAACAGCAAAGAAGGCCUCGUGACAAUUGGGACACAGAAGAUUAUGGUUAAGGUACAUCCGCAUGUACUCAUACUGCAUCUUGCACCGAUAGCAAACAGUCCAAAAGGUACCACGGUCCUUUGUUCCUGAUGAAGAACUCUUUUUACUGGUACUACUCUUUGGAGGCCUUGCUCGUGAAGCAGCAUUCUUUGCAAAUUUGUGAAAACCAUUCUGUUUAGAUUGUUGAGAAGAAUCCACAUUUUCAGCCCGGACUCUCUGCUGCAAGACACUCGCAUUUCUAUUGUCAUACACUGUUUUCUUGUUUUUAUCAGACAACAAGCUCCAUGCUUCUGAAACAUGCUUAAACGCAGCUUCGGCCCCUAUGGACUUGUUCUUAUCAGGAUGAAGCAUGAGGGCCAGUUUCCUAUACUGUUUCCUUAUAGCCUCAUCAUCA